UAGAGCGUUGGACUUUUAAUCCAACUGUCAAGGGUUCAAGUCCCUUAUCGGGCU
rnacentral:tRNA from 1 species